rnacentral:pre_miRNA from 1 species
GUUGAUAUGUGGAAAAUUCUAUCACUGGGUGCAUGAUGAUUGUGGUAGAGAGAUCAUCUCAUCACGCCGCCAUCACAUGUAACAUCUCUUCUAUUUCUCUCUAAUACAGUCAUCACACUCUCAGUUGAUAUGUGUAACAUUAUAUCAC